AUUGAACGCUGGCGGCAUGCCUUACACAUGCAAGUCGAACGGCAGCGGGGGAGAAGCUUGCUUUUCCUGCCGGCGAGUGGCGAACGGGUGAGUAAUACAUCGGAACGUGCCCUGUAGUGGGGGAUAACUAGUCGCCCGACUAGCUAAUACCGCACACGACCCGCGGGCGACACCGGGCGACCGCACGGCCCCAGGCCCUAGGCUCGGCCGGUGUCUGAUUAGCUAGUUGGUGGGGUAAAGGCCGACCAAGGCGACGAUCAGUAGCUGGUCUGGGAGGACGAUCAGCCACACUGGGACUGAGACACGGCCCAGACUCCUACGGGAGGCAGCAGUGGGGAAUUUUGGACAAUGGGCGAAAGCCUGAUCCAGCAAUGCCGCGUGUGUGAAGAAGGCCUUCGGGUUGUAAAGCACUUUUGUCCGGAAAGAAAUGGCUCUGGUUAAUACCUGGGGUCGAUGACGGUACCGGAAGAAUAAGGACCGGCUAACUACGUGCCAGCCGCCGCAGUAA
rnacentral:rRNA from 1 species